rnacentral:rRNA from 1 species
UACAGGGGGUGCAAACGUUGCUCGGAAUUAUUGGGCGUAAAGCGCGCGUAGGCGGCCACUUAAGUCGGAUGUGAAAGCCCUGGGCUUAACCUAGGAAGUGCAUUCGAAACUCCCGAGCUUGAGUUCUGGAGAGGAAGGCGGAAUUCUCGGUGUAGAGGUGAAAUUCGUAGAUAUCGAGAGGAACACCGGUGGCGAAGGCGGCCUUCUGGACAGUGACUGACGCUGAGACGCGAAAGCGUGGGGAGCAAACAGG